rnacentral:rRNA from 1 species
GACUACUGGGGUAUCUAAUCCUGUUUGCUACCCACGCUUUCGUGACUGAGCGUCAGUAUCGAGCUAGUAAGUCGCCUUCGCCACUGGUGUUCCUCCAUAUAUCUACGCAUUUCACCGCUACACAUGGAAUUCCACUUACCUCUCUCGCACUCUAGCUGUUCAGUUUUCAGAGCGUUAAGGGGUUGAGCCCCUCGCUUUGACUCCAAACUUAAACUGCCGCCUGCUCACUCUUUACGCCCAAUAAUUCCGGAUAACGCUUGCCACCUACGUAUUACCGCGGCUGCUGGCACGUAGUUAGCCGUGGCUUUCUCAUAAAGUACCGUCAAACAGCUAGCAUUUCCUCUAGCUGCCGUUCUUCCCUUAUAACAGAGCUUUACAAUCCGAAGACCUUCAUCACUCACGCGGCGUUGCUCGGUCAGGGUUUCCCCCAUUGCCGAAAACUCCCCACUGCAGCCACCCGUAGG